GCUAGGAUGAACGCUGGCGGCGUGCUAACACAUGCAAGUCGAACGAGGUACCGGUUGAAAUUUCGAAUGGAAACGGGUAAUACCUAGUGGCGGACGGGUGAGUAACGCGUGGGGAACCUGCCCCAUUCCGGGGGAUACCAGUUGGAAACGACUGUUAAUACCGCAUAAGCGCACAGUACUGCAUGGUACGGUGUGAAAAAACCACGGUGGAAUGGGAUGGCCCCGCGUCUGAUUAGCCAGUUGGCAGGGUAACGGCCUACCAAAGCGACGAUCAGUAGCCGGCCUGAGAGGGCGACCGGCCACAUUGGGACUGAGACACGGCCCAAACUCCUACGGGAGGCAGCAGUGGGGAAUAUUGCACAAUGGGGGGAACCCUGAUGCAGCCGACGCCGCGUGAGUGAAGAAGUAUUUCGGUAUGUAAAGCUCUAUCAGCAGGGAAGAAGAUGACGGUACCUGCACAAGAAGCCCCGGCUAACUACGUGCCAGCCGCAGC
rnacentral:rRNA from 1 species